AACACAUCCUCAAGCCCUUUUGCUUGGUAUUGGAGGAAGAUGUGUCUGCAUCUCCUCUCAAAUCCCUCAGCGGAAUGUACUGCAGUCUCAGGUGUCAUAAGAUUUACCUUUUUGCUUGAUAACUGCCAGUAGCUUCUUGCUGCGAAGAGCCCCCCAGCUAUUCAUUUAA
rnacentral:misc_RNA from 1 species